CAAUACAUUACAGAUGAGCCCUGCAUCAAUACAUUACAGAUGAGCCCUGCAUCAAUACAUUACAGAUGAGCCCUGCAUCAAUACAUUACAGGUGAGCCCUGCAUCAAUACAUUACAGAUGAGCCCUGCAUCAAUACAUUACAGAUGAGCCCUGCAUCAAUACAUUACAGGUGAGCCCUGCAUCAAUACAUUACAGAUGAGCUCUGCAUCAAUACAUCAAAUACACAUAUCUAUGAACAUAUAUAUUAUAUAGAGUACAAGGAACACAAUCACUAUAAUGAAAUAUGUGGAUCAAUAAGAUGCCACAGCAUGACAUAGCCAACAUAACAUACAAGGUACACCUGUUAAUUGAAAUGCAUUCCAGGUGACUACCUCGUGAAGCUGGUUGAGAGAAUGCCAAGAGUGUGCAAAGCUCUCAUCAAGGCAAAGAGGUGGCUCCUUUGAAGAAUCUCAAAUAUGAAAUACAUUUUGAUUUGUUUAACACUUUUUUUUGGUUACUACAUGAUUCCAUAUGUGUUAUUUCAUAGCGUUGAUGUCUUCACUAUUAUUCUACAAUGUAGAAGCUACACGUCAAAGUAGCUCAAAAAACGUUCCUGAAUAAAGCCCUGAUCAUCCACAUACCUGAAGAUUACUGACAACUGCAAGCAGACUGGUGGCACCAUAGGUCUCAGAGUAGUCAGACUGGUGGCACCAUAGGUCUCAGAGUAGUCAGACUGGUGGCACCAUAGGUCCCAGAGUAGUCAGACUGGUGGCACCAUAGGUCCCAGAGUAGUCAGACUGGUGGCACCAUAGGUCCCAGAGUAGUCAGACUGGUGGCACCAUAGGUCCCAGAGUAGUCAGACUGGUGGCACCAUAGGUCCCAGAGUAGUCAGACUGGUGGCACCAUAGGUCCCAGAGUAGUCAGACUGGUGGCACCAUAGGUCCCAGAGCGGUCAGACUGGUGGCACCAUAGG